CAGUCGCCGCGGUAAUACAGAGGGUGCGAGCGUUAAUCGGAUUUACUGGGCGUAAAGCGUGCGUAGGCGGCUUUUUAAGUCGGAUGUGAAAUCCCUGAGCUUAACUUAGGAAUUGCAUUCGAUACUGGGAAGCUAGAGUAUGGGAGAGGAUGGUAGAAUUCCAGGUGUAGCGGUGAAAUGCGUAGAGAUCUGGAGGAAUACCGAUGGCGAAGGCAGCCAUCUGGCCUAACACUGACGCUGAGGUACGAAAGCAUGGGGAGCAAACAGGAUUAGAUACCCCAGUAGUCCCUGUCUCUUAUAC
rnacentral:rRNA from 1 species